UAGGGAAUCUUCCGCAAUGGACGCAAGUCUGACGGAGCAACGCCGCGUGAGUGAAGAAGGAUUUCGGCUCGUAAAACUCUGUUAUUAGGGAAGAACAAAUGUGUAAGUAACUAUGCACGUCUUGACGGUACCUAAUCAGAAAGCCACGGCUAACUACGUGCCAGCAGCCGCGGUAAUACGUAGGUGGCAAGCGUUAUCCGGAAUUAUUGGGCGUAAAGCGCGCGUAGGCGGUUUUUUAAGUCUGAUGUGAAAGCCCACGGCUCAACCGUGGAGGGUCAUUGGAAACUGGAAAACUUGAGUGCAGAAGAGGAAAGUGGAAUUCCAUGUGUAGCGGUGAAAUGCGCAGAGAUAUGGAGGAACACCAGUGGCGAAGGCGACUUUCUGGUCUGUAACUGACGCUGAUGUGCGAAAGCGUGGGGAUCAAACAGG
rnacentral:rRNA from 1 species